rnacentral:rRNA from 3 species
GUGCGAGACCGAUAGCGAACAAGUACCGUGAGGGAAAGAUGAAAAGAACUUUGAAAAGAGAGUUAAAGAGUACCUGAAACUGCUGAAAGGGAAGCGAAUCGUAUCCAGUGUCUAUAAUCUGCGGCAUAUUUCAUUGGCGGCGGUGCGCGUGCUUUUGCGUCGGAAGCGGCUUUUGUUGCUCUGUGCUUUUGCUGUGCGUGGUGUUGCUGGUGCCCUGUGUUGCGGUGGGACGUCAGAGUCAGUUUGUAUGCUGCGGGAAAUGGCUGCCGAGGAGGUAGGUCGAGAUUUCGGUCUUGGCUGUUAUAUCUUGGUGGUUUGUUGUCGUGGUUGGGACUGAGGUGCCUACAAUGUGCUUUUGAGUGUGCCGGGUUCUCAUUUGGUGGACUGUUUGGAUAGCUUGCUAUGCUUGUGGUUUUUUCAUCGAGUGAUUGAGUCUGGUGGUAACUUGUUGCUGUUCGGGACUUUGAA